GGGUCAGUAGGUUGGUCGGGUCACCGGUACGUACUGGUCUCACUGAUUCCUCCUUCCUGAAGAACCGUAAUGCCAUUAAUUUGGUGUUACGGGGAAACAGGACUGUUACUUUGAAAAAAUUAGAGUGUUUAAAGCAAGCUAACGCUUGAAUACAUUAGCAUGGAAUAAUGAAAUAGGACGAUCGAUCCUAUUUUGUUGGUUUCUAGGAUUGACGUA
rnacentral:rRNA from 1 species